CCACAUGAAAGAUUUUUGUGGUCUGGCCUGCUCACUGAGAAGAAAGCUUAAAGAGCCGCGGUAUUCUGACCGUGCAAAGGUAGCAUAAUCAUUAGUUUUUUAAUUGAAAACUUGUAUGAAUGGUUAGACAAAAGAAACUCUGUCUCGUUUGUUAGACUUGAAUUUAACUUUUAAGUGAAAAGGCUUAAAUUUUUUAAGGGGACGAUAAGACCCUAUAAAGCUUUAUAAUGAAAUAUUAUUUUUUAAAAUAACUUAUAAAAUGAAAUAAUUAUAACCUUAUUAUGUUGGGGUGACAUUGAUAAAAAUAUAUUUAACUGUCAAAAUAAAUAUACAUAAAUUCAUGAAUAAAUAUAAAUUGAUCCUAAUUAAAGAUUAAAAGAUUAAGUUACUUUAGGGAUAACAGCGUUAUUUCUUUUGAGAGUUCUUAUCGAAAAAGAAGUUUGCGACCUCGAUGUUGAAUUAAAGAAUCUUUUUAGUGCAGCCGCUUAAAAAAGAAGGUCUGUUCGACCUUUAAAUCUUUACAUGAUUUGAGUUCAAACCGGUGUAAGC
rnacentral:rRNA from 1 species